CCCCCCCCCCCCUCUAAAGUAUGAGUGAAAUCCUGUGACGUUAUUGGGCCCUUGUGAUUAAAUCAGGAAGCCGUCAAGGACGACCAAUGUUAAUUUCAAAUACCUUCCCCCACAUCCAGUAGAAAGAGGAGUGGGAGGCCCCAGUGCACAAAUGAGCAAGAGAACAAGUACAUUAGAGUGUCUAGUUUGAGAAACAGAUGCCUCACAAGUCCUCAACUGGCAGCUUCAUUAAAUAGUACCCACAAAACACCAGUCUCAAUGUCAACAGUGAAGAGGUGACUCUGGGAUGCUGGAAUGUCAUUGUAUGCUGCCUUGUGAUAAAUACAAUUUGAUUUGAGUAGUGCCUGUUGUCAUUGACUCAUCAUGGACAUAACCCAUUUUAACAUGGACAUUGCCAUUGAAGGCUACCAACAGUUGAAAUUAGUCAACUGGGUGGGGAUUUCUAUGUUGGGAGCAUUCAGCCAAUGAAAAACAAGAACAUUUACUACUUUAAAGUGGAGAUGGCCUCAUUGGUGCUGCCCAUUCCAUAACAGAGAAAAAGAUGAGUCCUCUAUCUAGCUCUAUGUCCUGUGCAUCUCCCCUUUCAUUGGCUAGAAUGGUCACACCUGAUCUUUGAGGACAUGUAUUUCCAUUGUUUGAGCUGUCAAUCUACUAUCUUGUCAAUAUAAUAGACAAUCUUUGGUUGUAUCGGUCCGACGUCUUGGCAAUAAAGAAAUUGUGUCUAUAACUCUCAAAAAACACUUUGUUUGUCGUAGACGGACAAGAUUAAUAUGAACUGAGAGGCGAGUUCAUAAUGAGUUCAGGAAGCCAAGCUUGAGCUCUAAGAUGUUCACAGUGAUGGGGAAAGACGUUUUGAAAAAAUAUGCACAUUUUCUCUAACACUAAACAUACAAAUAUGUAUUUUACAUAAGGAAGAUGAAAUCUUAUAGUUAGUCGUUUUAUAAUUUGAUGAUGCUAUAUUUAGAAAGCAUAUGUCAUUUCUAGCCUUAUUCAUACAGUUUUGUUGAAUAGAAAAUACAUCAUAUAAGUUAUUCCAUAUUUGUAUCAUAUUUGUACUGUGUACUUGAGCAUUCGUCCUCAAAAGCUACUACAACUCAGCAAUUUAUAACUAUUUUUACCAGAAAGGUGAGAUUCUAACCUGUCUUGGAGUAUUCUGCAUUACUAGUUAUUCUUUAUGGCCCUCUCAUGAUAAAUAAUUACUUUUGGGGAUUACGUAGAUUACAUUUCUGAUUACAUUUAGUUACAUUUAACUGGCUUUAAGGGUGUAGGCUUUCUUUUCAGUGAAGCCAUUCACUAGCUAGCUAUGUUUUUUGUUAAUUAGCUAGAUGGAAGUUGUGUUUUUGCAAUCCCACUGGCAGAAGUUCAUGCCUGAGUCGUGCCUCCAUUUGUAAAUUCGCAAAAUUUAAAUGAUGACAAACACUUUACUCUGUAGGUCACUCCCGUAGAAUUCUAUGAUCCCUCCCACUAGGCCCACUUUGAUUCGUUUACAUCCCAGACUCAUAUGCGCUGUGCGCAAUAGGACGCACGCAGCCUAAUACAUACCUACCGAGCUCAACUGGCUAACUGGCUGUAUUGUUACGAUUGAUUGUCUGUGUGUAGCUGUCCCUUCUCUCUUUGAAUGUGUCUCUUGAAAAGAGAGGUAAGGGCUGUGAGAAUGAGGAGGACAACCAGAGGGGAGCAGAGUGGUUGAGAGACAGCUGAAGGACAUGCCACUGCCACUUAGUCAGGGAAAGUAAGUGCAGCCAGAAUGAGUGAGCAUGGUGCUCCAAACACAAGGCCAGACAGGCUAAUCUCUCUGUUACACACGCACACACACACACACACACACAGUAUUCUACUUUGGAAGAUUCUGUACAUUUAGACCAUGUAUUUUACUUACCAGAUUUGAUUAAAAUAAAAGCAAUAAUAACAUGUUUACUUCUCUUUAAACAACAGUAAAAUAUUUAUAUUAUCAUAGCCAACUGUUUUUAUUGCUCAAUUACUUUUGCAUGAACUAUAGGCUGACGUCAUGCCCAUUGUUGAUGCAUUAUGAGGCACAGUGAGUGACAGUCUAGAUACUCCCAGCUGUGUUGAUAGGAUCAUCAUAUUAAUAUUUGUGGGAUAGAUCGCACUUUAGAAUGUUUAUAGAAAGUGCUAUAUCUUGAAAAUGUCACCGCUGACAUGCAUCUUUUUUUUAAAAUAUUUCUAAAUCAACAGCAGACAAAUGAGCAAUUAGUAAAAUACCCCUUUUAGUGUGAUUUUAAUGUAAUGAUAACUACAAUCUGUAGUUCUCUCAGGCUUCUCUUUUGUCAUCAGUGAAAUUACUACAAUAUGACAAAAGAGAUGAUAAUUAUGUACAUAACAAACCCUGGCAUUGUAGUGGCUUUCUGGUAAUGGUCAACUGAUGUCCUUGGUCAGCUACCCCAAAUAUUUGUAUUUUUUCUCUUCUUUUUUUCAUUGAAAUGCACCAUCUGAAAUAAUCUGCCAAUUUAAAAAAUGUUUUUAAACGUCAGUCAUUGUAUUUUAUCAUUAAGUUGAGUAAGAUGAAAUCGAAAGGUAGUUUAAAGUUCUUGGUCCUUUAUCCAUGCAUGUGCGUAGGGAUGGAAGAGGAGAUGGGAUUUAAGGACGGAUGACAGAUGGUAAUCUCACCAAAAAUAAAGCAGGAAGUACCAGUGACUCGCUCAAUACGGAAGUGGUCAGAUGACGCGGAUGCUGCACUACAGGACUGUUUUGCUAGCACAGACUGGAAUAUGUUCCGGGAUUCAUCCAAUGGCAUUGAGGAGUACACCACCUCAGUCAUCGGCUUCAUCAAUAAGUGCGCCGAUGACGUCGUCUCCACAGUGACUGUACGUACAUAUCCCAACCAGAAGCCAUGGAUUACUGGCAACAUCCGCAUCAAGCUAAAGGCUAGAGCUGCCGCUUUCAAGGAGCGGGAGACUACUCCGGACACAUAAGAAAUCCUGCUAUGCCCUCAGAUGAACCAUCAAACAAGCAAAGUGUCAAUACAGGAUUAAGAUUGAAUCCUACUACACUGGCUCUAAUGCUCGUCGGAUGUGGCAGGGCUUGAAAACUAUUACGGACUACAAAGGGAUACCCAGACGAGAGCUACCCAGAGCCUCCCAGACUAGGUAAAGGCCUUUUAUGCUCGGUUCGAGGCAAGUAACACUGAAGCAUAGCAACAGCUGUUCUGGAUGACUGUGUGAUCUUGCUCAGUAGCAACAUCGGUAGCUGAUGUGAACAAAACCUUUAAACAGGUCAACAUUCACAAAGCCACUGGGCCAGACGGAUUACCAGGACGUGUACUCAAAGCAUGCGUGGACCAACUGUCAAGUGUCUUCACUGACAUUUUCAAGCUCUCCCAGAAAGAGUCUCAUACCUACAGUUGAAGUCGGAACUUUACAUACACUUAGGUUGGAGUCAUUAAAACACGUUUUUCAACCACUCUACAAAUUUAUUGUGAACAAACAAUAGUUUUGGCAAGUCGGUUAGGACAUCUACUUUGCAUGACACAAGUAAUUUUUCAACAAUUGUUUACAGACAGAUUAUUUCAUUUAUAAUUCACUGUAUCACAAUUCCAGUGGGUCAGAAGUUUACAUACACGAAGUUGACUGUGCAUUUAAACAGAUUGAAAAAUUCCAGGAAAGGAUGUCAUGGCUUUAAAAGCUUCUGAUAGGCUAAUUGACAUAAUUUGAGUCAUUUGGAGGUGUACUUGUGGAGGUAUUUCAAGGCCUACCUUCAAACUCAGUGCCUCUUUGCUUGACAUCAUCAUGGGAAAAUCUAAAGAAAUCAGCCAAGACCUCAGAAAUAAAAUUGUAGAGCUCCACAAGUCUGGUUCAUCCUUGGGAGCAAUUUCCAAACGUUCAUCUGUACAAACAAUAGUACACAAGUAUAAACACCAUAGGACCACGCAGCCAUCAUACCGCUCAGGAAGGAGACGCGUUCUGUCUCUUAGAGAUGAACGUACUUUGGUGCGAAAAGUGCAAAUCAAUCCCAGAAGAACAGCAAAGGACCUUGUGAAGAAGCUGGAGGAAACAUGUACAAAAGUAUCUAUAUCCACAGUUAACGAGUCCUAUAUCGACAUAACCUGAAAGCCCGCUCAGCAAGGAACAAGCCACCUCUCCAAAACCGCCAUUAAAAAGCCAGACUAUGGUUUGCAACUGCACAUGGGGACAAAGAUCAUACUUUUUGGAUGUCCUCUGGUUUGAUGAAACAAAAAUAGAACUGUUUGGCCAUAAUGACCAUUGUUAUGUUUGGAGGAAAAAGGGGGAGGCUUGCAAGCCAAAGAACAACAUCUCAACUGUGAAGCACGGGGGUGUGGGUGCUUUGCUGCAGGAGGGACUGGUGCACUUCACAAAAUAGAUGGCAUCAUGAGGGAGGAAGAUUAUGUGGAUAUGAUGAAGCAACAUCUGAAGACAUCAGUCAGGAAGUUAAAGUUUGGUCGCAAAUGGGUCUUCCAAAUGGACAAUGGCCCCAAGCAUACUUCCAAAGUUGUGGCAAAAUGGCUUACGGACAACAAAGUCAAGGUAUUGGAGGGGCCAUCACAAAGCCCUGACCUCAAUCCUAUAGAAAACUUGUGGGGAGAACUAAAAAAGCGUGUGUGAGCAAGGAGGCCUACAAACCUGACUCGGUUACACCAGCUGUGUCAGGAGGAAUGGGCCAAAAUUCACCCAAUUUAUUGUCUACGCAAAAUGUGUGACCCACAUUUUGCGUAGAACCUUCACCCCAGUCUGAACCUUCACCCCAGUCUGAGGUCCUGAGAACUCUGGAUCAGGUUUUCAUCAAGGAUCUCUCUGUACUUUGCGCCGUUCAUCUUUCCCUUGAUCCUGACUAGUCUCUCAGUCCCUGCCGCUGAAAAACAUCCCCACAGCAUGAUGCUGCCACCACCAUGCUUCACCGUAGGGAUGGUGCCAGGUUUCCUCCAGACGUGACGCUUGGCAUUCAGGCCAAAGAGUUCAAUCUUGCUUUCAUCAGACCAGAGAAUCUUGUUUCUCAUGGUCUGAGAGUCUUUAGGUCCCUUUUGGAAAUCUCCAAGCGGGCUGUUAUGUGCCUUUUACUGGGAAGUGGCUUCCGUCUGACCACUCUACCAUAUAGGCCUGAUUGGUGGCGUAUGUCGUGGAAAAUCAUCUCAGAAAUAUAACGCUUUAUCAGAACUUGUGAAAUCAAAACAUGCUUUUAUUUACAAUUGUAAAACCAUCUGGAAUGUCCCGCAGAACACACACCCUCCCAGAGCACUGGUUCGCUCUUUAUACCCAAAUAGCAUAUGAGUCCACCCCAUAUGCAAAUAAACAUACUUCCCCUAAUUCUUCAACAUCAUUAUCUUUUUAGUUCAGGCUUCCUGCAUGUUCACGCAUACUAACGCCCAUCAUCUGCUUUCAGUUAAAUUAUAAUAGUGGUCAGACCCUCUAUCUUAGUGUGUCAACAAACUCUUUUUCCCUUCCCUUCACCACUAAAUCAAUGCACUCUUUGUUCUGUUCCCCCCCUAUCCUUAGGGUAUCCAAUUGCUUUUUGGCGCCUAGGUGUCUGACACAUACGUAGUGGAAUGGGUAGACUAUAAAUCUAGUGUGUCAAAGCUUUUUCCAUACAUGUACUUUAAAGCACGUAUGACUUUGACCAUCUGCUAAUCUUUGGUUUCCUGUAUUUACCAGAAUGGCAAAUGCACUCAUCUGCCUUCUUAUACUAUUUUCUAGUAUACUCCUGUCUAUUGUUUAAUAGUGUGAUAUCUACCUACAUAUGUCAAUUACUCCUACACGUACUGCAGAGAUGGUUGUCCUUCUGGAAGGUUCUCCCAACUCUGGAGCGCUGUCAGAGUGAACAAGGCCCUUCUCCCCUGAUUGCUCAGUUUGGCCGGGCUGCCAGCUCUAGGAAGAGUCUUGGUGGCUCCAAACUUCUUCCAUUUAAGAAUGAUGGAGGCCACUGUGUUCUUGGGGACCUUCAAUGCUGCAGACGUUUUUUGGUACCCUUCCCCAGAUCUGUGCCUCUUUUUCUUCUACUUUUUAACAAAUGUUUAGCUUUGUCAUUAUGGUGUGUUGAUUGCUGAGGAAUAUAUUUUAUUUAAUCAAUUUUAGAAUAAGGCUGUAACGUAAUAAAAUGUGGGAAAAGUCAAGGGGUCUGAAUACUUUCCGAAGGCACUGUAUACAUAUUCUACAUUGUAAUACACUACCCCUACAUGCCAUUGUGUGCUGGAGUUAUGGGUUUAUAACACAUUCAUAACUGAAUUGAAUGUGGGAUGCAUAACUACUUUUCCCUGAAGGAGGGAAACGAGGCAAAACAUACAACUUCAAUAGAAGACUUAAAAUCAUGCCUGACAAGACCAAUGAAAUCAUAAGCGUAUCCUAUUAUAGUGUGGAUACAGGAGUAGCCUAUUCACUAGAAACUUUCGUUUGUUCAAAUUUCUGUCAGUGCGAAAUAGCUAGAAAGCUUUCGUAUUUCCACUUGGCUGCACCUACGGUUAUGAGAACGAUAAAUCAAGUGCAAUACCUGCGUCGAUCUGUGACGAGCAGCAACACACCGGAAAGUUACAAGAAGAACAAGAAUGGUUACCUCACCCGGUCAUGUGACAUUUGUUGUUUAUCGAUUUUUCGCCCACACCAGAUGUCUGGACCUUGGACAGGUAACAGCUCCAAGGGCCAGUACAUCAAGAGCCAGACUAGUGCAACAUUUUGGACCAGUCACUGAGGAGGAAGAAUCAGACGAGGACCAGUGGAUAGGAAUCCACUCCAGUUUUAAACACUGAUGAAGAAAUAGAACGGAAUGAUCUGUGGGGACACUUUUCAAAAAAGCUUCUUUGAGUGGACAUACUGCCGCUCUGAAAUUGAUCAGGUCUGUGAUAUACAGGACUUUGACUGCCCAGCCUGUUCACCCAGCAUGCUUGCAGUGUCAGUGGACGGGAACAAGAAGCUGUAUCGAUUCAAAAAAGGGUAUGUACUAUUCAUAAUUUAUCAAAUAACACCGUACUCUAUAUCAUUUAAACAAUCCAAAUAAGGUUUGCCUUUUCUUUGUCCAGUGUGAACGUUUUCAAAUGCAGUCGAGGUCAUUUUUAGCUUAAAUGUUUUGAGUUUGUAAUGAAAUUAAUUAUCAACAUUGUCAAGUGUCCCACAAUCAGUUACUGAGGUUGAUUGCUAUUUCUUAUGUCAUAUAUUUAAUGUAUUUCACCUAUCCUUUCAAGGACUGAUGACAAAGAAUUCUUUGAUGGCGUAUUUAUCUGCAAGGAUGAGGAUGUGUCUGACUUUGUGAACUAUGUCCAUACAAAGACUAAACAUGUACGUUUCCUGUGUAUCUUCUAAUCUGUGAAAUAGGACUGGCCUCGGGCCAUCUGACUCAAAGGCAGACUCGUUAUACACUAUUCCAAUAAGAACAUAUCAUUUUGGAGAGAUGGUAAUCCUCUCUCUUCAAGUCCAGGGUCUUUACACCACCUCCCUCUGUUCAGAAAUGCAACACACUUUACAAUUGCUUCUUUUUGACACUCAAUCUCCAACUUCUGAUCUCCAUUGUAGCGAACACAGGGGGUAGCUCAGCGCUCUCAGCUAGAUUUUAAAAACCUAACCACUGUCCCGUUAACACUCCCCCCCCCAAAACAUAUUUCCUACCUUAUACUCCCUUGUCUAGGGUUAUGGAAAAGGGGUAUGUGGAGCAUCCUAGUGGACAGCAGCUAAAGACUCGGCAAGGAAAACAAACAACAAACUUGAUGAAGAGGGAUUCGACGUUGCCGUCUGCCGCCACGAAAUACUUCUAAGGAGCCUCAACAUGAUGCGCGGAGAGAUAUUUGCGUACAACACUGUUCUUGCAGAAGGAAUUGUCUGGCAGCAGGAACAUACAAUUCAUGUGUACGGAUGUGAUCUGCAAAUUUUGGCCAUACCCGACCAAAGUUGCCCAUCAUUGUCCAGAGCUCGCCACUCUUCUAGACAUGAAGCUACUUCUUUCCGUCACGCAUGCAAAGGCACAUCGUUUGAAAUGCGAGAUUAAGUGGGGAGGACGGAAUCUGGAAGGAGCUGGCACAACUCUGGGGGAGGUAGUGGAACAAGGGAACAGCUUCAAUCUGUUCCAAGCAAAUGUCCAAAGGAGCAAGAACAGACAUGCUAACCAUCCAGGCCAUGGGGUGGAACAGAAGAAAAACAACCUGCACAGAGUAUUGUCCAGAAGAUACUUGAAGGGACAACAGCAAAAAUCCAGGAGGAGACCCAGACUCUCGAUAAGUUUAAGAGUGAUUUGGGUGUAGGCGAUGAGACUCUGUACAACUGGACAACGGAAGUUCAGCAAUGGGCUAAUACAGAAACCUUCACAGAGGCCCUAUGUUCCUCCAGGAAGUGAGUGCAACUACUCACCGUUGGAGAUACAAUAAAUCUAUAAAUUAACAACGUAUUUCAGAGGAAACAAAUGAGAACACGGAUGGUCCCCAGGUACUACAGAGAACAAUUGAAGUCCUGUUUGUUAGCAUCAAACAAAGGAAACAGAACCUCUACCAUCAAACAGAUGGAUGCAAGAAAAGACUCUGCGCAGAAAGAUAUUGGAGGAAAAGGACAAAUUGACAGCUGCCAUAGAGGAGUACAACACCCUUGUACCAGAUUCAGCAAUACCAUCUGUAGAUGAGAUCCUUUCCGCAGACCUUCAUGCAUGGCCUUGGAAGCUGCAUGGACAAAAUGACCUACUCACAAAGAAAAUGGCCUUUGACCGGGUGAUGCUCCAAAGACGGCUGAAGGAGGAAGAGUUAAUUGUCCUAAAGGAAGUCAAGCAGCACUGGGAAAACCUAAAGAGGGAAUCGGAGAAUGUGCAAGACCUUGCUUCACAUGUGGCACUUGACUUAAGCAGGAAAAGCUGGCAAUUGAAUCAGUUGGAAGCUGGGAGCAGAGGUCUCUUCUCCAUGCUUCAGACGAGAGUCAGCAGCCUCAGAAGACACCAGGACUGUCAAACUGAUAUACAUCAAAGCUAUGGGCCAAGACACCUCCCUCCUAGAAAAUAACUUCAUAGAUGACCUCCUGGAAGAGGACCUAGAUGACAUCUAUGACAGCAUCCACUACAGCCCUGAUGAUGAGGAAUCUAUCACAGACUGAAGUUGUUUGUUUGGGUGGGUGCAGUUUGCACUGGGUGAAAAGUGAUUCCAUUUGUUUUGCAUGUGUGCUCUAUCUGCCUUCCUAAGGAAAAAUUGUUUGAUCAUUUUAUGGAAAAUAAACUUUGAUGUUUCUUCCUUGUUGACAAUGUGAUCAUGUGGCACAGAUUUGAGAAAGGCACUAUUACUGAUUUUGCCCGGUUACAUGACCAGGUCCGAUGCACCCCUUUAAAUGGACAAUCUGCAGUUGCUACAUCCACUUUUGGAUGCUUGAAGAAUAUAAUUUAUAAAUGCCUCAUGAAUACAGUUCACCUGCCGUACCCCAUCAGAUCUCAAAAUAUAGAUAUUUUUUUUCUGCUCGAAUGUUUGUAAACAAAGUAAAUGUAAACAUACACUAGCAUGUGUCAAAAUAAUUCCACGGGUGAGCUGGGUGUCUGUGGGUUUUCGCAACUCCCAUAACUGAUGAAUUAAGGUCACUAAUUAGUAAGGAACUCCCCUCACCUGCUUGUCUAGGUCUUAAUUGAAAGGAAUAAAACAAAAAACCAGCAGACACUAGGCUCUCCAUGGAAUGAGAUUGACACCACUGGACUGUAGCAUCGAAACAUGGCGUAAACUAUGGUUACAUUUCUCCAGCCCCAUCCCUCUGCUUUUUACAGAACCAUUGGCGGGGAGAACGAUUUAUUGUUUCACCUGGUGAUUUCCGAUUGAAACAUUAUUAAACUGUAAUGUACUGUGCUUGUGAGUGCUUGUUAGUUUAGUUAAUAAAAAACGAAAAAAGGUUA